GUUAGGAAUAUUGGACAAUGGGCGCAAGCCUGAUCCAGCCAUGCCGCGUGAGUGAUGAAGGCCUUCGGGUAGUAAAGCUCUUUAGCCGAUGAUUAUAAUGAGUGUAGUCGGAAAAUAAGCCCCGGCUAACUUCGUACCAGCAGCCGCGGUAAUACGAAGGGGGCGAGCGUUAUUCGGAAUCACUGGGCGUAAAGCGUGCGUAGGCGGCUUUGCAAGUUGGGAGUGAAAGCCCAGGGCUCAACCCUGGAAUUGCUCUCAAAACUGCAAGGCUCGAGUUCGGGAGAGGAUAGCGGAAUUGUCAGUGUAGCAGUGAAAUGCGUAGAUAUUGACAGGAACACCAGUGGCGUAAGCGGCUAUCUGGACCGAUAUUGACGCUGAGGCACGAAAGCGUGGGGAUCAAACAGGAUUAGAAACCCCGGUAGUCC
rnacentral:rRNA from 1 species